rnacentral:rRNA from 1 species
GAUGGACGCUGGCGGCGUGCCUAAUACAUGCAAGUCGAGCGAACAGAUGAGGAGCUUGCUCCUCUGACGUUAGCGGCGGACGGGUGAGUAACACGUGGAUAACCUACCUAUAAGACUGGGAUAACUUCGGGAAACCGGAGCUAAUACCGGAUAAUAUAUUGAACCGCAUGGUUCAAUAGUGAAAGACGGUUUUGCUGUCACUUAUAGAUGGAUCCGCGCCGCAUUAGCUAGUUGGUAAGGUAACGGCUUACCAAGGCAACGAUGCGUAGCCGACCUGAGAGGGUGAUCGGCCACACUGGAACUGGGACACGGUCCAGACUCCUACGGGAGGCAGCAGUAGGGAAUCUUCCGCAAUGGGCGAAAGCCUGACGGAGCAACGCCGCGUGAGUGAUGAAGGUCUUCGGAUCGUAAAACUCUGUUAUUAGGGAAGAACAAAUGUGUAAGUAACUAUGCACGUCUUGACGGUACCUAAUCAGAAAGCCACGGCUAACUACGUG